UACAGAGGGUGCAAGCGUUGUUCGGAAUUAUUGGGCGUAAAGCGCGUGUAGGCGGCUUGUUAAGUCGGGUGUGAAAGCCCUCAGCUUAACUGAGGAAGUGCGCCCGAAACUGCAGAGCUUGAAUACCGGAGAGGAUGGCGGAAUUCCCCAAGUAGAGGUGAAAUUCGUAGAUAUGGGGAGGAACACCGGUGGCGAAGGCGGCCAUCUGGACGGCUAUUGACGCUGAACGGCGAAAGCUAGGGGAGCAAACGGG
rnacentral:rRNA from 1 species